rnacentral:rRNA from 1 species
GAUGAACGCUGGCGGCGUGCCUAAUACAUGCAAGUCGAGCGAACAGACGAGGAGCUUGCUCCUCUGACGUUAGCGGCGGACGGGUGAGUAACACGUGGAUAACCUACCUAUAAGACUGGGAUAACUUCGGAAAACCGGAUCUAAUACCGGAUAAUAUAUUGAACCGCAUGGUUCAAUAGUGAAAGACGGUUUUGCUGUCACUUAUAGAUGGAUCCGCGCCGCAUUAGCUAGUUGGUAAGGUAACGGCUUACCAAGGCGACGAUGCGUAGCCGACCUGAGAGGGUGAUCGGCCACACUGGAACUGAGACACGGUCCAGACUCCUACGGGAGGCAGCAGUAGGGAAUCUUCCGCAAUGGGCGAAAGCCUGACGGAGCAACGCCGCGUGAGUGAUGAAGGUCUUCGGAUCGUAAAACUCUGUUAUUAGGGAAGAACAAAUGUGUAAGUAACUAUGCACGUCUUGACGGUACCUAAUCAGAAAGCAACGGCUAACUACGUG